rfam:Ciona savignyi cont_23876, whole genome shotgun sequence.
GUUAGCGUGGCCGAGCGGUCUAAGGCGCUGGAUUUAGGCACCAGUCAUUUCGAUGGCGUGGGUUCGAAUCCCACCGCUGCCA